GCCACUCUGCAUGUUAGAAAAAUGUCAAUUAUUCUGAAGAGGUUAGCAAUGCUACCUGGCAUCUGCUCCACAAUGGUGAUUAUGAUAUCACCGUUCUUGUUGUAGCAACAAGCCAGUCUCUGAAAUGUUUUCCAGAGGUUUGCAUUUGUUGACUCCAUUGACUAUUUUCUUGAUAAUGUAGCUGGGAUAAACUAGAAAACAAGUUUCCCCAUGGUCAGCUGGAAAUACUCAUAUUGCACUUGGACGGAGCAGAUUGUUUCUGAAGAGGGCCAGUGAUGAGCACCAGUUCCCUCCUUGCCCAGGCCAACAGCGUUUCACAGGACCCCUGGGAUCGUCCUGAUGGUUCUCUUCCAAACAAUGAUCUAGAAAGAUGCCCCGUGUCAAGUUGCUUGCCUUUCGAAGGUCUUCAAAUCAUUGUUCCUCCAUAUCAUAUUCAGAGCUAGUGCUUUCAUGCUGAUGUGGAAACAUCUAAGAGGACUCAUAAUGUCAACAUGCAUUUCCCCAAUAAGUAAACAAGAGAAAUGACACUGACAAGAACAAGAAAUGAUUAUUUCUUCUGCCAAAGUUGGAAGCGACCAGAUACGGAUGUGCGUAUUUUAAGAUCAUGGUUUGUGCUGUUGGAGUAGGAAUAAGUAAAAGCUCUUUAAUUUGAAUCUGAAAAGAAAAUGAAAAUUCAAAGGGAUCCUUGCU
rnacentral:lncRNA from 1 species